GGACAAGUUGCCUAUUGGAAAGGGUGAGCUGAUUGCUAUUCGGUGUACAUUUAUGUACAGUAGGUUCGAAUCCUAUCUUGUCUG
rnacentral:tRNA from 1 species